rnacentral:ncRNA from 1 species
GGACUGUGAACCGUCUGGGCAUCGGCGCAGAGGGAUAACUGGCUUGUGGCGGCCAAGCGUUCAUAGCGACGUCGCUUUUUGAUCCUUCGAUCUCAGGUCUUCCUAUCAUUGUGAAGCAGAAUUCACCAAGCGUUGGAUUGUUCAUCCACUAAUAGGGAACGUGAGCUGGGUUUAGACCGUCGUGAGACAGGUUAGUUUUACCC